rnacentral:rRNA from 1 species
GGCGAACGCUGGCGGCGUGCUUAACACAUGCAAGUCGAACGAUGAAGAAAAGAAUCGAAGCUUCGGCAGAAAUUCAUUUCGGAUUAGUUGCGGACGGGUGAGUAACGCGUGAUCAACCUACCUCUUACAAAGGGAUAGCCUCGGGAAACCGGGAUUCAUCCCAUAUAACAUUGCGACGAAGCAUUUCGCUGCACUCAAAGCUACGGCGGGAAGGGGUGGUCGCGCGUCCCCUUGACCGGCUGGUGAGGUAACGGCGCACCAUAGUGACGAUGGGUACACGGGAUGAGAGGGUGAGCCGUCACACCGGCACUGAGACACGGUCCAGACUCCUACGGGAGGCAGCCGUGGGGAAUAUUGCCCAAUGGAGGGAAUGCUGAUGCAGCGCCGCUGGUUGAGUGAUGAAGGAAUUCGUUUCGUACAACUCUGUUCUAUGGCAAGAAAAUGACGGUACCAAAGGAGAAAGCUCCGGCUAACUACGUG